ensembl:snRNA U6 U6 spliceosomal RNA
GUGCUCGCUUUGGCAGCACAUGCACUAAAAUUGGCAUGACACAGAGAUUAGCAUUGUCCCUGUAAAAGGAUGACAUACAAAUUCAUGAAGUGUUCAAUUAAAAA